UCCUGGGAUAGCUCAGUUGGUAGAAGAGCAUGAGACUCUUCAUCUCUGGGUUCAAGCCCCGCCUCGGGCA